GACGAACGCUGGCGGCGUGCCUAAUACAUGCAAGUAGAACGCACAGUUUAUACCGUAGCUUGCUACACCAUAGACUGUGAGUUGCGAACGGGUGAGUUACGCGUAGGUAACCUGCCUGGUAGCGGGGGAUAACUAUUGGAAACGAUAGCUAAUACCGCAUAAUAUUAAUUAUUGCAUGAUAAUUAAUUGAAAGGUGCAAUUGCACCACUACCAGAUGGACCUGCGUUGUAUUAGCUAGUAGGUGAGGUAACGGCUCACCUAGGCGACGAUACAUAGCCGACCUGAGAGGGUGAUUGGCCACACUGGGACUGAGACACGGCCCAGACUCCUACGGGAGGCAGCAGUAGGGAAUCUUCGGCAAUGGACGAAAGUCAGACCGAGCAACGCCGCGUGAGUGAAGAAGGUUGUCGGAUCGUAAAGCUCUGUUGUAAGAGAAGAACGGGUGUGAGAGUGGAAAGUACACAGUGUGACGGUAUCUUACCAGAAAGGGACGGCUAACUACGUG
rnacentral:rRNA from 1 species